AGAAUGAACGCUGGCGGCGUGCUUAACACAUGCAAGUCGAACGAAAUCCAAGGAGCUUGCUCUGGAAGAUUUAGUGGCGAACGGGUGAGUAUCACGUGAGCAACCUGCCCCGAAGACUGGGAUAACACCGGGAAACCGGUGCUAAUACCGGAUACCUUCCAAUGACCGCAUGGUCGAUGGAAGAAAUGUUUUUCGCUUCGGGAGGGGCUCGCGGUCCAUCAGCUUGUUGGCGGGGUAACGGCCCACCAAGGCUUCGACGGAUAGCUGGUCUGAGAGGACGAUCAGCCACACUGGAACUGAGACACGGUCCAGACUCCUACGGGAGGCAGCAGUGGGGAAUCUUGCGCAAUGGACGAAAGUCUGACGCAGCAACGCCGCGUGAGGGACGAAGGUUUUCUGAAUUGUAAACCUCUUUCGACAGGGACGAUAAUGACGGUACCUGUAGAAGAGCACCGGCAACUAUGCGCCAGCAGCCGCGGU
rnacentral:rRNA from 1 species